rnacentral:misc_RNA from 1 species
GUCAAAGAAAUCACCCACCAUCUGAGAAAUCAAUAAGAAGAAAACCAAGUGAAAAGAAAAAAUUGUAAAGAGGUGCUAAAAGAAAGCUAAAAGAAAGCCGAAUCUAGUGACAGGCAUUUUUGUUGGAAUAUUGAGAGUUUGCUUUGGAAAAGGUAAGACUUAUAGUCUUAAAAAUGACUUUGUUUUCUAAAACACACUAUCCUAGAAGUAUUGAUUGUUUAAAAAAUCAAAGAGCUUUCUUGUAAUGUGUAAAAUAUUUGUGUUUAGCAACAUUGUAUCCAGAUCUAUCUUUUUUCCUGUAUAAGGAGACCUAUUUCAUUGUAAUUUGACAAGAGAAGAACUAGUGAAAAACAAAAGAAAAGUUUUCUUUAAAAACUUCAUUUGUCGUGUCCCUUUUCAAUUUUAGAGACUUCAAUAGUAAGAUUAGAGCCCAAAUUCUGUUAACUCUCCAAAAAUGCCAACAAAGGUACAAGAGCCAUUACCAAACUUAGACAAUUUUAAGGGGUUUGACAGAAAGUCAACUGCAGCAAGGCAAAGAUUUACCUCAGCAAGGGGUAAUUCAUAUGU